rnacentral:rRNA from 1 species
UACGUAGGGUGCGAGCGUUGUCCGGAAUUAUUGGGCGUAAAGAGCUCGUAGGCGGUCUGUCGCGUCGAUCGUGAAAACUUGGGGCUUAACCCUGAGCUUGCGGUCGAUACGGGCAUGACUGGAGUUCGGCAGGGGAGACUGGAAUUCCUGGUGUAGCGGUGAAAUGCGCAGAUAUCAGGAGGAACACCGGUGGCGAAGGCGGGUCUCUGGGACGGUACUGACGCUGAGGCGCGAAAGCGUGGGGAGCGAACGGG